rnacentral:pre_miRNA from 1 species
AUCAUACUCCCUCCGUCCGAAAAUACUUGUCAUCAAAAUGGAUAAAAAGGGAUGUAUCUAGAAUUAAUAUACAUCUAGAUACAUCCUCUUUUAUUCAUUUUGAUGACAAGUAUUUUCGGACGGAGGGAGUAUAUC